rnacentral:rRNA from 1 species
UGGGGAAUUUUGGACAAUGGGGGAAACCCUGAUCCAGCCAUCCCGCGUGUGCGAUGAAGGCCUUCGGGUUGUAAAGCACUUUUGGCAGGAAAGAAACGUCAUGGGUUAAUACCCCGUGAAACUGACGGUACCUGCAGAAUAAGCACCGGCUAACUACGUGCCAGCAGCCGCGGUAAUACGUAGGGUGCAAGCGUUAAUCGGAAUUACUGGGCGUAAAGCGUGCGCAGGCGGUUCGGAAAGAAAGAUGUGAAAUCCCAGAGCUCAACUUUGGAACUGCAUUUUUCACUACCGGGCUAGAGUGUGUCAGAGAGAGGUGGAAUUCCGCGUGUAGCAGUGAAAUGCGUAGAUAUGCGGAGGAACACCGAUGGCGAAGGCAGCCUCCUGGGAUAACACUGACGCUCAUGCACGAAAGCGUGGGGAGCAAACAGG